UAACCGAUGGUUCCAAAAUUGGGACUUGCGACUCCAUCACAAGCACUAUUUAAAUUUACCUGAAUGCGACCCUGUAAAGCAUGCUCACGGAAAGCAAGGCGAUCUCUCCCUCUCCCACUUCCAAUAACAUUUCGACAGCAUCACUCACGCUCACCUCUAUGAAUUUGUUGACAGCGGUUUGAACACGGCAAAACAUAUUGAGCCGAGAUCCGUAGCAGCAUCCAAAGGCAGGGCAAGGAGCGGCGUAACUCAUAAAGCACGAUAGAAAAAUCCGAACAACUCGGGUUAGUUCGGAUGAUUAUGAGAUCUUUGGGUCGGUCCGUGCUCGGCAUGUUAACGCUGCCAAAACUAAUACCGUUCCGAACGCGCUAGAGAGCAGCCAGUGCGCGACGUGGUUAAUUUGCUCAAGGUCUAGUGUCAAAAAGCUAAAAUAAAAGUUAGUAAGAUUAGUGGUGGUUAGAACUUUUACACAAGUGGUUAGUAAUGUUAAUAUGUGAAGCCAUACAUGCAAAUUUCCUAAAAUUCAUUGUCUACUUAAAACUAGGGUAGUGUCACCGAUAAUGGUCUACACCACAAAAGUGAACAUUAAGUCUGUGUAAACUAGAAAGAAAAAGGUAAUUAGUUAUGCACAAUCGUUAGAAAAAUGUACAUGCUAGUUUUCUACUCGCUAAAUGGUGGUUUUAAAACGGCAAACAAUAGCAAAAAGUGGCAUUAUUUUAAUAAGAAGGGCAGGUCCAUACCAGGGCCUUUUUCUUUUGUUUCUUGGUCCAGCUUUUGUCCAAGUCACCAUUGUACCCCGGAUAACAAUGGAACCGAGGAGAGUCCCCAAGCAGGACUGAACAGGCCAGCCAUAGCCGCACUCGAAGGACGCCAUUUUGGACUUAGGAACAGUCUCAAUGCGUUCAGGUUCCUACGGUGUCUCGCCAGACCAGCUACAAGACGGACAGUAAGCAGAUAUCAACUACGUCGGGUUCCAAAACGUGUCGACCAAUCUCGGGUGACAAUUGGUGAAGUUACCCUACCAGAUCAGAGUUGCCCUUCAGGUCAGGUAGCGUCCCGCCGUCAAGGGAAUGCGUCCAGAACCGCCCAGU